UACGUAGGUGGCAAGCGUUGUCCGGAAUUAUUGGGCGUAAAGCGCGCGCAGGUGGUUUCUUAAGUCUGAUGUGAAAUCCUGAGGCUCAACCUCGGGCGUGCGAUGGAUACUGCCGGGCUAGAGGGUGGUAGAGGCGAGUGGAAUUCCCGGUGUAGCGGUGAAAUGCGCAGAUAUCGGGAGGAACACCAGUAGCGAAGGCGGCUCGCUGGGCCACACCUGACGCUGAGACGCGAAAGCUAGGGGAGCGAACAGG
rnacentral:rRNA from 1 species